rnacentral:rRNA from 1 species
UACGUAGGGUGCAAGCGUUAAUCGGAAUUACUGGGCGUAAAGCGUGCGUAGGCUGCGCGGAAAGUUGGGUGUGAAAUCCCUCGGCUCAACCGAGGAACUGCGCCCAAAACUACCGUGCUCGAGGGAGACAGAGGUGAGCGGAACUUAGGGUGGAGCGGUGAAAUGCGUUGAUAUCCUAAGGAACACCCGUGGCGAAAGCGGCUCACUGGGUCUCUUCUGACGCUGAGGCACGAAAGCUAGGGUAGCGAACGGG